ACAGUACAAACUGAGCAGGCGAUGGACUUUUAUAAAAGUUCGUGGGGCCGGGCCUUUUUUGGGCAACAGGAUUUAAUACCUGUGGGACAGUA
rnacentral:ncRNA from 20 species